rnacentral:lncRNA from 1 species
CAUUUCAAUUGUUAUUCCCUUUCACGGUUUCCCGGCCAACAUCCCCCUAACCCCUCCCCCUCCCCUUCUAUAUGGGUGUUCCCCUCCCCAUCCUCCCCCCAUUACCGCCUCCCCCCAAACAAUCACGUUCACUGGGGGUUCAGUCUUGGCAGGAACAAGGGCUUCCCCUUACACUGGUGCUCUUACUAGGCUAUUCAUUGCUAUCUAUGCAGUUGGAGCCCAGGGUCAAUCCAUGUAUAGUCUUUGGGUAGUGGCUUAGUCCCGAGAAGCUCUGGUUGGUUGGCAUUGUUGUUCAUAUGGG